GCUCCGCGACCUGUAAGGAGAAGACAACCUGGGUAGUCUGUACUGCUGGGACCCUACCCGUCCUUCCUCCCUACGCUCCUUUCCGCAGUUCCAAGCUUCGCACUGCCUCGCCGGCCUAACUUCCCUGCUCCUGGCGACCCGCUGCUGUCCUAGCGCACUGUCACCCGAGGACCCAGAUGCGCUGCGCCGCCUCCGCCCCCGACCGUCCCUGGAAGCGGACCUCC